rnacentral:rRNA from 1 species
UACGUAGGUGGCAAGCGUUGUCCGGAAUUAUUGGGCGUAAAGCGCGCGCAGGCGGUCUCUUAAGUCUGAUGUGAAAUCUCGCGGCUCAACCGUGAGCGGUCAUUGGAAACUGGGAGACUUGAGUGCAGAAGAGAAGAGCGGAAUUCCACGUGUAGCGGUGAAAUGCGUAGAGAUGGUGGAGGAACACCAGUGGCGAAGGCGGCUCUUUGGUCUGAUAACUGACGUGAGGCGCGAAAAGCGUGGGGAGCGAACAGG